AACUGGAGAGCUUGGGCAAAGAGACACCUUGAUGGUGAUGUUUGUUCUUAUAUUAGUCCUGGGCAGAGCAGUUGGCAGUCCUUUGUUUAUCCUUGCUUGAUGCUUCGCUUGAUGGCCAAAGCUGUUUUAUGCCUAGGAUACAUAA